GGAGAGGUCGGAUAACGGCUAUUCCACCGGUUUCGAAAACCGGCGUCCAGAAAUGGGCUUGUGGGUUCAAAUCCCACCCUCUCCG
rnacentral:tRNA from 1 species